rnacentral:rRNA from 1 species
UACGAGAGCCUCGAGCGUUAUCCGGAAUUAUUGGGCUUCAAGGGCGCGUAGGCGGCGCGGUAAGUCACUUGUGAAAUCUCUGAGCUUAACUCAGAACGGCCAAGUGAUACUGCAGUGCUAGAGUGUGGAAGGGGCAAUCGGAAUUCUUGGUGUAGCGGUGAAAUGCGUAGAUAUCAAGAGGAACACCUGAGGUGAAGACGGGUUGCUGGGCCAACACUGACGCUGAGGCGCGAAAGCCAGGGGAGCAAACGGG